rnacentral:rRNA from 1 species
AACGCGAAGAACCUUACCAGGUCUUGACAUCCUCUGACAACCCUAGAGAUAGGGCUUUCCCUUCGGGGACAGAGUGACAGGUGGUGCAUGGUUGUCGUCAGCUCGUGUCGUGAGAUGUUGGGUUAAGUCCCGCAACGAGCGCAACCCUUGAUCUUAGUUGCCAGCAUUUAGUUGGGCACUCUAAGGUGACUGCCGGUGACAAACCGGAGGAAGGUGGGGAUGACGUCAAAUCAUCAUGCCCCUUAUGACCUGGGCUACACACGUGCUACAAUGGACAGAACAAAGGGCUGCGAGACCGCAAGGUUUAGCCAAUCCCAUAAAUCUGUUCUCAGUUCGGAUCGCAGUCUGCAACUCGACUGCGUGAAGCUGGAAUCGCUAGUAAUCGCGGAUCAGCAUGCCGCGGUGAAUACGUUCCCGGGUCUUGUACACACCG